CAUGCGGGGAAGGAUGAGAAGCUUCGACUAAGGUUCGGCUCGAGCGUCAGCGAGAGAGCGUUGCCGCAGGCAACGACCCGAAGGGCGAAGCGCGCAGCGCUGAGUAAUCCUUCCCCCACCACCA
rnacentral:sRNA from 1 species